AUACGGAGGAUGCGAGCGUUAUCCGGAUUUAUUGGGUUUAAAGGGAGCGUAGGUGGUAGAUUAAGCCAGCGGUGAAAGUUUGUCGCUCAACGAUAAAAUUGCCGUUGCUACUGGUUUACUUGAGUAUAGUUGAAGUAGGCGGAAUGCGUGGUGUAGCGGUGAAAUGCAUAGAUAUCACGCAGAACUCCGAUUGCGAAGGCAGCUUACUAAGUUAUAACUGACACUGAAGCACGAAAGCGUGGGUAUCAAACAGGAUUAGAUACCCUGGUAGUCCACGCAGUAAACGAUGAUUACUAGCUGUUUGCGAUAUACAGCAAGCGGCCAAGCGAAAGCAUUAAGUAUUCCACCUGGGGAGUACGCCGGCAACGGUGAAACUCAAAUGAAUUGGCGGGG
rnacentral:rRNA from 1 species